GCGGGGGUUCCCAAGCCAGGUCUAAGGGGGAGGACUUAAGAUCCUCUGGCGAAGGCCUUCGCGGGUUCAAAUCCCGCCCCCCGCACCA
rnacentral:tRNA from 1 species